AGUGAAGGGCAAAGCUGUCGAAAGGCAGUGACGCAAAGCAAGGUGUCUAAGCAGAAUUUUUGUAUGACGGACCGGCUGCA
rnacentral:ncRNA from 1 species